rnacentral:sRNA from 1 species
AUUCGGUAUAUCAUACUGAAGAGAGACUUUGUAUGCAAAGGCCAGGGUAGCUGGAUAGGCGACGUUUGCUUCCGCCAUGAUGAUUCUGGUCCAGAACUUGUCGUCUGUUCUUCUGACUAGCUUGAGAGAACUUGACAUCGGACAUUCAAGGUUGACCUCCAGAUCUUCGCCGUCUCCCGUCUGACCGUCAGUAAUGGAUCGAGUGAAGAAAUUCACGAAGUACGUCACUCGCCUGGGUGGAUCAAAGACGUCAAUGAACGACCUCCCACCCGAUUCGAAAGAUAUGGCCUUGUGGACCAACAAUUUGUUCAUGGACGGGUCAAGGUCACUCGGAACGACUGUAAUCCAGGACUUGGACAUGACAAGAAGCAUAUCCCCGGGACAUCUUCGGCCGCCCUCCAGUAAAAUGGCCAUGCACUCGACCGGCGACGCCAAGAUGACGAUGGAGAUUCCGGAUCCGGGGAGAGUGGUUCUAGGGUCAGUGGUCCUAUCUUCCGUCUCCGCGUAAUUGGUUUCGUACAGUGUAUACUGAAGGGCGUCGUAGUAGUUGUAUAUAUGCUUGUCAUUUUCGGGGACCUCUUUGACAAAGUCGGGGGGAGAGAGAUUCACGUGUCUGUUCCAAGCACAGUAAGAACCAAGGGCGGUGGUGUACUUGUCUGCAGUCAGCUGCUUCAAAAAGAGCGUGGCCAGCGGGUAUUUCUGAAAAUGUAAAAUAAUCUUCAUUUAUAGAAAAAAAAAU